rnacentral:rRNA from 1 species
CACGCUGUAAACGAUGAUCACUCGCUGUUUGCGAUAUACAGUAAGCGGCUAAGCGAAAGCGAUAAGUGAUCCACCUGGGGAGUACGAUCGCAAGGUUGAAACUCAAAGGAAUUGACGGGGGCCCGCACAAGCGGAGGAACAUGUGGUUUAAUUCGAUGAUACGCGAGGAACCUUACCUGGGCUUAAAUGGGGAGUGACAGCUGGCGAAAGUUGGUUUUCUUCGGACACUCUUCAAGGUGC